CAGGCAGGAAGUCACAGCUCACCCAAGCAGACCUCUCUCCAGGGAGCAAGAGCCAAGUUAGGAGCCUGGACUGUGACUGACACAUUGGUGGAAGCGCAACCUUGGAGAGAAACCUCGAGCACCCAGUCCUGAGGACACACUUGUGAAUUUCCUCUCAAGGCUCCACCAAGUCCUUGUGGGGAAUAUCAGUGGAAAAUCCCCUAAGGCUCUGGCACAGAGUGGGGGGAAAGCCAUGCUGAAGGACACCAGCACUCUACUCUAACAAGACGGCCUUCAGAGGAAACUGACCCCAGCCAGACUGCUGGGACUCUAUGAGAGCCAAACCUACCAGGAGGAAAGGAAGUGUGCAGCUCCAGUUCCCUCUGGCCUUCCUUUUCCGCCACACGUUUGUGAAGUUCACAGUCCAGGAUCACAGGAUCAGUAGGGUAAGAUUCUUCUAUGCCCUGUACAUAUAGUCCUCCCAUAAAAAUAUUUUUUAAAAAAAUCACAAAGUGGGGUUGAGAAUAUGGCUCAGUUGGGAGAGUGCUUGCCUAGCAUGAAGAGAACUCUGAGUUCAAUCCCCAGCACCACUGAGACUGAGUGUGGUGGUCCAUGGCUAUAAUCCCAGCACUCAGAAGACAGAGUCAGGAGGAUCAGGACUUCAAGAGCAUCCUUAGGUACACGGCUGUGGCAUAGGCUACAUCAGACUCUAUCUCAAAAGAAGAGAUGAGGAGAAUUCCAAAGCAUACUAAAAAGAAAGAUCACAGUUUUCAGAGACAGGGCAAGUCUGAGCUAUGGUAGGAGCGUAGAGAAGACCAGGCAGGAAGUGUAAAUGACGAUGACAGAUAAAAUGACAUGUAAGAAUGGAUGAGCAAGGUAGGCAAAGAGGCAGAAAUUCUAGGAACAGCCAAAAAUAAAUGCUAGCCAUACAAACACUGUAACAAGUGAGGAAUGCCUCCAAUGGGCUUAAUAGAGGACUAGACAUGAAAGCUCUGAACUUGAGCACAUAGUAACAGAAACCUUCCAACCAAGAAGCAAAGAGAAUAAAAACUGAUAGGAGCAGAGAGGAAUAUCCAAGAAUUGUGAAAAGAUGAGUAUAAUGAGAAUCCCAGAAGAAGAAAAAUAAAACAACUGAGAAAUCCCUCAAAUUAAGAUCAAAUGUCCAACACAGAUGAAACCCAGAGAACCCCACACAAAAUAAAUACAAACAAAAAACCCACAUCCAAAAUUUACACUUAGAGUUUCAUUGUCAAACUAAAGAAGGUCAAAGGUAAAGACAAACAUUGGGACUGGAGAGAUUGCUCAGUGGUUAAGAAAGGGUACUGCUCUUGCAGAGGACUUGAGUUCAGAGCCUAGCUCCCAUGUCAGAGGGUUCACAGCUGCCCAUAACUCCAGCUCCAGGGGAUCUGACACCCUCUUGUGGCCUCCACAGGACCUUAACUCAUGUGUACAUAUCCAUAGACAGACACACACUUAUACACAUAAUUUAAAAAUAAAAUGUAAGUAUUAAUGAAAAGGGAAAUGGGGAGCAGACAUUAACUGGUAAUACUGAAGGAGAGAAAGGAAAGAGAUAUAAAUAACAUUAAGGAUGUUUGAGAAAGUCUAGGGAAAGCAUAUUAUUUUACAAGCACACACAUAUAUGUUUAACGGCAGUACACCACGGUGGUAAUGGACCCCUCAAUAGCCAUAGACUAACAAAAACCCAGCUGCCCAACAUGAAAAUCUCCAUUCCAGUUCUUGGUCAGGAGGAUCCAAGAGACUCCUCAAUCAAUACAGACUAAUGCCAUUGCCCUUGGGUGACUCCCAGAGCUGGAAGGUGAGAUCUUACUGCUGGUGGAGACACCACACACUUUAGACACAGGACUUGGAAGAAAAGAGAAGGUACUGACCUGGAAGGGCCUCCUCCCUGAGGACUAGCUCUCACGGUAUUAGAAGGUCUACAAGCUGCCAAGGGAGAAAAGCAAUCAAUUGUCCUAUCCAGCUGUGAAGCUUACAAACCACAAUGGCUGGCCACUGCAAGGUAUCCCCAGUGGCGUAAUAGUGACACCUUUAUCUUGUCGCUAAUCAACAGCUAUCUAAUUGGACUUCAGGCUGCCUCAGUAGGAGGUAAUUCAUGCCUGGAGCUGUAAGCCUAGCCAACUCCCUGUGGUUGGUGAGGUCAUAGACCCUAAAGAAGAACCUACUACCGCCACUUUUCUAAAAUAAUACAAUUUCUAAGUGUGUUCUAAAUACUUUUCCUUAUCCCCACAGGAAAGCGUAGCUCUCACCCACAUCAGACAACUUUUUAUAUCAUAUGGAGACAAGUAUAGAGGUCCACAGCCAGUCAAAAUGCAGCGAAUUAAGUGACCACAGAGUCCCCAUCUCCAGCUGAUACGUCUGCAAUGUAGCCCUUAUACCUAAGGCUCAGUGGCAGAAUUUCCCUGAGGGGUGGGGAGAUUGUCAGAGCUGGGGAGCCUGCUAUACACAGUGUCUUCUAGACAGGAGAGGGAAGCUGCACCCACAGACUCUCGACAAUGUGGCUGUCUAAACAGGACUGGCAUAGUGGCAAUACCGGUUGACAUUCCAACAUGGAUGGGGGAAAUUUUAGAAGGUCCCACUGUUAGAUGAAGAGCUACGAGCAAUCAAUGGCUGCUGAGAAGGGAAAUCAUUUUUUUUUUAAAUAGGGACUAAUUCCCAAUAGGUUAUUCAGUCCCAAGUGGUCAGCAGUAAAUACACAUCCACACAAGUGUCACUAAAUAGACUCAGGAGGUGGGUUUCCUGCGUGUGGGUUGUUUGUUUUGUGUGUGUAACAAUAACGAUUGAAGAAGAAGAGGUCAUGAAUUUGAGAGAGCACAGGAAGAGUUGUAGGGGGAGAGGAGGUAGAAAUUAUAUAAAUUCAGCACUCAUGUAUGAAAUUCUCGGGAAAAAAAAACUUGGAAAAAGUCAAUUAAAUAAAAUAAUUCCUUGAAAAAGAAUCAUUCGUAUGUAAGUGAAACGAAUGACCACAGAGACACAGGGACAGGAAGGAGGAAUUGUAGUUAUUCUGUGACUGUGGGGAAUCCAGCCCCACACAAAACAUGUGCUUACAAGUGGGAUGAGAUUAACUAUAAAUCUAUACUGUAAGCCGGGGAAAUUUGUAAAAUAUUUUUAAUGUAGCUGGUGUGCUAAGAAAAGAGAACAAAAUGAAGUAAUAAGAAUGUCCCAAACUAGAAAAGUUACAAAAGAGUAGAAGGUGAAAAUAGGAACCGGAAGCAAGACCAUGACACCAAUGACAGAUACUCAACCGUUCGUCACUCUGAGUGUCGGUAUAUAAAUGUACUGAUUAAAAGAUGGAGAUUGGGGUAGAGAGAUGGCUCAGUGGUUAAGAGCACUGCCUGCCCUUCAAGAGGACCCAGAUUCAAUUCCCAACACCCAGAUGGCAGCUCACUGUUAUUCCAGUUCCAGAGAACACAACAGCCUCUUCUAUUCAGGUUCAGUGCUAUUGAGCUCUGGUUUCUACGUGAUGUACAUGUUCUACGACCUUGCACAUAUUUCAUAAUUUGUAUAAUACUUCUAAAGAGGCUGAGUGUAGGCAGCUGGGGAGAGGGGACCACAUUGUCUGUCAUGGUGAGAGCACAGAGUCCCACUAGGACAGAUGCUACAGAAUCUGGACCCGAUGCCUCUGGCUGCAGCUCUCUGAGAAUCUAGAUAGUGCCUUCCUGUUGGCUCCAAAGUCAGGAGGUAGGUUCAGUGUGAAGCCCAUGGAAAAGGGCAGCCCCUCUGUGUUAUGUUGUCACUAUUUGGCAUAUGUCAGCCAUGCAGCCUAGAAGAUCUCAAGAACUGGACCUGCCCAGGUGCUGAGACAGGAAUCUCAGGGGACUGGGAAGAGCUCACAGUGCAGGGGGUGGGGGAGGAAGCAUAUAGAAAGCAUCUGGCAUGGUCAGGAAAAAUGGCUAGAGGUCUGUAGAGUAAAAGUAGUAUUGUAUAUGAAAACCUUGGAGGAGAAAGAGGACCUAGAUAUCCCUCUUUCUUGGCUUAGAUUAGCUGAGUUUAACAAAGCGUAUGCAGUACAAAACCCUGCAGCAUCGCCCGAGAUGCCCUGUUCUUUAGGAAGAUGCUAUCUAUCAUCAUAACCACAACCACAACAGCCUCAGCUGACCCCUUCCACACACAGGGCCAAGAACACUUCUUUCUGCUCCUGGCUGUCUGACCUCACUUACAGAGCCCCUUGACUGAGUGGCACAGUCCACUUCCUGCCCUGUGGAUGUGGACAGAGAGGAGAAGCGGGUCAGACACUGAAUAGCUCCGAGGCUGGGCUUCCCUGGCCGGAGACUGCCCUCACCACAACCUGUCCUUAUUUUUCUGAGUCUUGACCUUUUUCUGUUCCCGGGGAGCUAGGGCUGAGUCCUCAUCUAGGGGAGAGUACCCCAGAAUGGGCAGGGUGUGGAAACAGAGAUGAAAGUUCACCCUCCUGCAGUUGGUACCCACUGCCCACGGGGGGCGUGCAUGCACCACUAAUGGAGAGCAGGGUACAUGGUGGUGAUGGAUAAGAAUAUCGCUGGGGUUGGAAGGAGUGUCAGGGCUAAAACAGAAAACUCGAGAACACUGGGGAUGUGAAAUAAAAUGACUGAGAGCUGGAUAUGAAAUAGGCAAACUGACCACACAGGCAUCCCCCACAGCAGGGCCAGGUUAACAUGCAGAGGAAUGUGGGUUAACAGGGGCAUCUCCACGGCGGGGCCAGGUGAACAUGCAGAGUGUGAGGCUUCCCAGUUGGCUUGGCGUGUGACAUGCUCAGAGUAUUAACCAGUGACAGUAGAAAUGUCUAGUUUCCACCGUAAGUACCAGUUAAAGGCAAACAAGAACUAGUCAGAACCCCUAAGGGUCAGUCACUUCAGGGCUGUGUCCAUGAGAUGCCCAACCCAGCUGAUAAAUCUAUACAUCAACGCUGCAUCUGAGGCUCAGGGGAAAUUGCAGGAGAGAGAGUACAAUGAUUUGAAGAGCCAGGGAACCAGGAUAUUGCAGCCAUGGACUCUCAACAUACAGUUACCUGAACAAGACCUGCAUGAUCGCAGCUCCAGCUGGCAUGCCAACGUGAGUGGGACUCACCAGCUCACCAGGCUCCACCUCUAGACAAAAACCCACAGGACAUCAAUGGCUGCUGAGAGAGAAGAAACAGUGUCCUCCAGGGAAAAAGCUCCCGGGUAUGACGUCCAAGCCCAAGUGGUCAGCUAGCCAUACACAUGGGUUGUGUAUGGUUGUAGGUGCACGCAUAUGUGUUUGCAUGUACAUAAAUACGCCUGUGUAACAUAUAUGUUUAACAGUAAUAAUUAAAGGAGAGGUCGUAAGCUUGAGAGGAAGUUGGAAAGAGACGUGGGAGGAGUUGGAAGAGGAGAAGCAACGGAAAUGAUGUAAAUACAGUACUCACAUUUUAAACUCCAAAAAAGUUAAAAAUUAAAUAUAAAAAUUCACUCUCAAGGACAUUCCUUUUCCCCCAUGUUAAUGAUUCGGAACAGAAUUAUAAACUAAGAGUCCUAUAAAAGAGUGACUCAUACUUUUUUUUAAAGAGGGGGAGGACAAUUGAAGUAAACAUCCUUCUAAGAACAGCAACACCAGAAACACCCCGCCCCAAGUUUGCCAGUGGAGGCUUCUUUAGAGGGAAACUGAGUCCCAGAGGACCAUCCAGCUCUCUGGCCUGUUUCUUUAUUAAUUUGCCUUGAAAGCCAUCUUCAGAGAGAAAGCAGGGGCUCUCUAGCCUCGCCAUGUCCACCACACCUGAAGGCCGUGUCCUCAGCUAAGUGAAUGGCUGCUGGCUUCCCUGUGCGGGAUUCUUCCUCUGUGCAGCUUAGGAAGGUCUCUGUGGGGGACAAAAGUCUAAGGACUGCCCUGUCUGCAGACAAGCCUCUAGGACGGCCACCGAGGCUGGAGUUUGGUCUUUGUGCUUGCUAAACCCUUUGGAGGGACUCUAUAUCCUUGGAGUGCUCCAGAGCUUGGCAGGAGCCUGAACAGCCAGGAAUGCCCCCGCCAUGAAUUGACAGCAAAGCCCUGCUGGUUUGAAGCUGGAGGCUCCACACUCACCCCUGUAACUGGCCAGGGAAAUCAACACUCACAAAGGCAGUGCUUUGUUUCAACUACGCCUUAUUCUGAAAAAAAAAAAUUGAAAAGCAAUUAUAUUUUAAUAAAUGUGGCUGUGAUUACAGAUGGCACUUCAUUUCACAACAGAACCUGUAUGCCCUAGCAAUUAGCAGCCGGAAAAUUAGCAACACGGAGCCCAUUGCUGGGUCUGCGUGAUGUUUUCAUUACAGGAGUUACAAAUCACCUAUUAAUCUUCCCCUAAACACACAGCAACAUGCUCGCAUUCCUCACCUCAAAGUCAGUUCUGUGAAGCCGCUCUAAGUAAACAAAACAGGAUGCCAGGAGGCCGCUUGUCAGCACGGGAUUCAUGGCAUCACUGGAUCCCCUGGUGUGACUAGAGGAUUAACCCACCGGAGCCAAGUGUCACGGAGUGGCUGGGACUAGCCUGCAGAGCCCAGCCCACCCACAGCCUACCCAGAAGGCCAGUGUGUCUGUGGAUAGUCCGUCUCCACAGGGAUAAACAGUCUCAGAGAGACAGUGGGCUAUGGAUGACUGUGGGAAACAGAGGAAGCCAUGAGUGAACAUGUAAGAAGCAAGUGACGUCCUGGGCGAAUGUUUAUUAUUGACAAGGACCCCAUUGCCUCAGGCCCAUAGAAACUGGCAAAACCUUCCUUGGGGUGAGACGGAGAGGAGCAGCAAAGCCUUCCUCUGACCCAGUUACUAAUGUUUACAAAUGAUGGACCAGUGUGUGCAAAAACUGGCAUCCGCAGCUCCCUCCUCCCGAUGCUACACUCUGAGACUGCUCCCCUCCAGAGACUCCCUAGAGAGACUAGCUAACCUCUGUUCCCCAUGCUGUACAGAAUACAUAUGCUGAGGUUCUCGGCUGCUGUUCUACAGGCCACUCCAUCUGAGCAAGCACAGCCCAUCCGACCCCAGCUUUUCCGUACGUGUGUCUGUAUAUCUGCCCUUUCUCCAUUCCUUCAUUUCCUUAGGUUUUCAGGACCAACCAAGCUGCACAGCAUGUGGCAGAUGGCCAGUCUGUGUAUGGAUGACAGAACUCCACCUUGAAGCUGACUUCUGGCCUGGCCAUCUGAAUGCACACAGAGACAUGGAAGAAGCCCUCGGGAGGCCACAGAGUGAGCACAGUGACCAAGGCAUCCUACUGAAUACAGGGUACUGUGUGUCCUCCUCGCUUACCCAUCAGAGACAGAAAACAAACCACAGGUAACCAGCUCAGCUUGGGGAGAUGGUGCUCAGGGGUAACAGGACUGCAAAUAAAGCCACACUGUUCCCAGAAGGAUGAGAGGAGAGCUGGGAACCACUCACUGAGGUGGCUUGCUGGUUCAGAGCGCUUCCAAGAACCUCUGAGUCCAACACCAAGCAAGUUACCACUCCCCUGGGCCAAGCGCUUCUGCAUAGCCAUGAGCUGAGGCGGCACCAUGCUGGAAGCAACUCUUAACAGAGAAAUACAGCAUAAAUAUCACAAAGGGAGCAGAGAGAGUAUAGAGAGGUGACAAGGAGAGUAUGCUGGUGACUGAGACAACCCCCAGCCUGGAAGGGUUCUGUAACCUGGCGCAUCACAGUACCACGCCAAAGCACAGUGUCUUUGACACUCCCAAAGAGACAAAUGGCACCUUGCACUCUCUGAGCAGAGGAGUGACAACAGGAUCCAUGAUUAAUGAGGAAAUGUGCACCACUUCAUAUACGGCACCCUUUAUUGGAGAUUUAAACGUACUUUGAAAAGAAAUGACCGGCCAUGCUUGGUGCACGGUUCCAGAAAUAGCCCAGUUUCCGUCACCGCUGUCCCGAGAAAGAUGAGAAGAGUCGUAUGAGGAAGAUGGCUCACGAUGACACUGUUGUCCUCAUGCCUAUUCCUAACCCGAUCUCCUUGCAUGCAGCGCUCUGGGUCAGGCUUUGUAACCCAUAUUCCCCUAGGACACACCUGACCUGAAGCAGGGCACAGGCUGGCCAGGCAGCUGUGUCCUUGGCAGUAGAGACUGGGCUCCCAGGAAACAGUGCCCAUUUCCUACACUUGGUGUUCAGCCUGGAUUCCAGAGGAAUCUGUUUCUAACCUUAGACUGGACCAGGCCUUGCCUAUUUACACCAUUCUUACCCAGUCGAUGAAUGUGUGGUCACUUCCACCCAAGAUGGUCCUCAGCUCGCAAAAGGACCAGAGCAGCCAUUCAUAAAUCCAGACAUUUAUUUUCUCUUGAGGAGAAACUCAGAAGUCAUCUGAGAACACAAUCUAGAUUCCGGACAGGGCUGUCCUAGCUUUAGGGUGCGACCAGCCACUGCGCUUCCUGCCGCUUCCUGGGAUCUGAAGUGCUUUUCGCCCCACUCCAGGGAGCUCAGCUCUCCUUGUCUCUCCUCCCUAGACACCAUGGUUACCUGUGGUACUGAGCACCCAUGGCAGGUGGAAUGAUGUGGCUGUGCGAUUUUUGCAAAAUGUUAUGUCCAUUUCUGGGAGAAGAAAUGCUCCGAAGAGUCAAAACUACUUGAAUAAUGCCCUCUACCUCGACGAACAUAUUCAGCAGUCCAGAGCCAGAAAGUCUGGGCUGGGGCCUGGCUUGUUUUCUCCUGGGUGUGUCGUUUAACAACUUUCCUCGUGUGCCAUAAACAAACAACCGUGAGCUGCGCCUUUGCAAGACUGUCCAUCAGAUCUUCCUGACUGCUAACCAAGAUUUGAGAGUCCAGGCCCUCUCCUGGUCUGGAGACACAGCCAGGUCAGAGUCUUAAAGGGAUGCCACAGAGUAGAGCCAUAGAGACCAGCGCUGUCCGUGGCACUUGAUGUUGUGAUGUUUUUCUGCCACCUAUUCCCUGAAGAAGGUGACGCAUCCUGGGGUGGGGUAGUGCUGAUGGCCACAGCCCCAGGAUAUUGACAAUGCAAGUUUCCAUCUAGUACCUCUCCUGGCUGCUCCAAUGGGCUACCUAGGAAAGUGAUGCCUCUUCAGAUGACGGAAACAGCAGAGAGAUCUAGAGAGGCACCUCUAAGGGCCGCAUGGUGUGCUCCCACCCAACAAAUGAUGCCACUGGCCAUUCAGACAUGCAUCCUGGGCAGAUGAGUCUCCUGUGUCCUCGGCAAUGACAGGUAAACUAUAGUGACCAACCAUCACGGGACUGGAGCUUUCACAGACUCAUGCUGCUCUCAGCCUUAAGCAGAGACGCUUCUUUAUACCCGGGGCAACAGCUCCUGCAGAGACUCAUAACUGGUCAAAGCGCUUAGAGUUAGUAUUGAGUGCUUAGCUCUAAACAGGACAUCUGUAAUGCCUCUGACACGACCAACCCAGGAAAGAUCACAUGAAAAAGACAGAAGGCUUGUAAAGGCUGCAGGAUGGGGAGGCGUGCUACAGAACACUGUCCUCCAGAUGUGGCAUGCUGUUGCAAUCACAAACACAUAGCCACAGUGGCUCCCUCCACCAGACUGCCAAAAAAAGAAAGAAAGAAAGAAAAGAAUAAAAGUAGGGAGCAGAAUUGUCGGGAAGAACGGGUUCUGUGAAGGGUGGGGGAGGGGAGUAAAAAAUGACCAUAAUGCACUGUGUAUGUGUAUGGAACUGAUACCAAUAAUUUUAAUUAAAAAAAUUUUAAAGA